rnacentral:rRNA from 1 species
AGAGUUUGAUCCUGGCUCAGGAUGAACGCUAGCGACAGGCUUAACACAUGCAAGUCGAGGGGCAGCGGGGGCGAAGCUUGCUUCGCCUGCCGGCGACCGGCGCACGGGUGAGUAACACGUAUGCGACCUGCCCCCCGCAGGGGGAUAACCGGGAGAAAUCCCGACUAAUACCGCGUAACGCCGCUGGGCUGCAUGGCCCGGCGGCCAAAGGAAGCGAUUCCGGCGGGGGAUGGGCAUGCGGCGCAUUAGCUAGUCGGCGGGGUAACGGCCCACCGAGGCGACGAUGCGUAGGGGUUCUGAGAGGAAGGUCCCCCACACUGGUACUGAGACACGGACCAGACUCCUACGGGAGGCAGCAGUGAGGAAUAUUGCACAAUGGGGGAAACCCUGAUGCAGCGACGCCGCGUGAGCGAAGAAGUAUUUCGGUAUGUAAAGCUCUAUCAGCAGGGAAGAAAAAAAUGACGGUACCUGAGUAAGAAGCACCGGCUAAAUACGUGCCAGCAGCCGCGGUAAUACGUAUGGUGCAAGCGUUAUCCGGAUUUACUGGGUGUAAAGGGAGCGUAGACGGCAGUGCAAGUCUGAAGUGAAAGGCGGGGGCCCAACCCCCGGACUGCUUUGGAAACUGUGCUGCUGGAGUGCAGGAGAGGCAAGUGGAAUUCCUAGUGUAGCGGUGAAAUGCGUAGAUAUUAGGAGGAACACCAGUGGCGAAGGCGGCUUGCUGGACUGUAACUGACGUUGAGGCUCGAAAGCGUGGGGAGCAAACAGGAUUAGAUACCUUGGUAGUCCACGCCGUAAACGAUGACUACUAGGUGUCGGGGGACGACAGUGCCCCGGUGCCGGCGCAAACGCAAUAAGUAGUCCACCUGGGGAGUACGUCCGCAAGGAUGAAACUCAAAGGAAUUGACGGGGACCCGCACAAGCGGUGGAGCAUGUGGUUUAAUUCGAAGCGACGCGAAGAACCUUACCCGGCCUUGACAUCCCCACGGAUGCAGGGCAAUGCCUGCAGCCCCUCGGGGCGCGGGAGACAGGUGGUGCAUGGUUGUCGUCAGCUCGUGUCGUGAGAUGUUGGGUCAAGUCCCGCAACGAGCGCAACCCCUGCCCCUAGUAGCCAGCACGUGGUGGUGGGCACUCUAGGGGGACUGCCGGGGACAACCCGGAGGAAGGCGGGGACGACGUCAAAUCAUCAUGCCCCUUAUGGCCGGGGCUACACACGUGCUACAAUGGCGCGCACAGAGGGAAGCGAGCGGGCGACCGUGAGCGAAGCCCGGAAAGCGCGCCCCAGUUCGGAUUGCAGCCUGCAACUCGGCUGCAUGAAGCCGGAAUCGCUAGUAAUCGCGGAUCAGAACGCCGCGGUGAAUACGUUCCCGGGUCUUGCACUCACCGCCCGUCA